rnacentral:lncRNA from 1 species
GACUAUAAUGAACAGAAACACGAGCAUUACAUUUGUGAAGUAAGGAAUAUGUCGUCGGAAUAUUCAUUUUCCGACGAGAGGUCGUUAACGCCGGGAAAGGGGAAACCAUGUGAAGGAGAAAAACGUGAUUCUGGGUCGGGUCGGUCGGGUUGUGUCGGAACUUGGAUGAGAAUUGAUUUUGGGUCAAGUUUAAUUAAUGGCCAAUCAAAACGUGACACGUGGAAUU